UACGUAGGGGGCUAGCGUUGUCCGGAAUCAUUGGGCGUAAAGAGCGUGUAGGCGGUCCGGUAAGUCCGUUGUGAAAGUCAGGGGCUCAACCCUUGAAUGCCGGCGGAUACUGUCGGGCUAGAGUCCGGAAGAGGCAAGUAGAAUUCCCGGUGUAGCGGUGAAAUGCGCAGAUAUCGGGAGGAACACCUAUGGCGAAGGCAGCUUGCUGGGACGGUACUGACGCUGAGACGCGAAAGCGUGGGGAGCAAACAGG
rnacentral:rRNA from 1 species